GAGGCAUAUAAAUAUGCUCGCUGCGCACAAGGGGUUCUCUUUCCCGGUCAGUUAGCCGUAGUGUUAGGGGACAAGUAAAGCGAAGUGCAGGGGUAAACGCGAACAUGAUUGCGGAGGGCGAAAUAGUCAGUGCAUUUGCAAUAUAUACACUAUAUAGUGCGAGUGAGAAGCCAUAUAGCUAGCUAAUUAUUUUGGAAACUGCUAUGAAUUGUUCAGCUACCUAGCUGAUUUUCUUCAUACCGGCAGCGCGAUGAGCCAACGUGGCUGUGUUUUCUGCAACUUUUCAUUCUUGGGUCUUAACUGAUGUAGACAUGUCUGACGUCUCCGAACCAAGAGGUCGCAGUCACGGCCUAGGCCACGCGGAUGUCCGUAGUUCAAGAGGCCACGCGGAUGUCCGUAGUUCAAGGAAAUGUCCUUCCUCAGAUGGAAUUUUCUGCAGCUGAACAGCCUUUGCAUGCAUUUCCAUUGUGGGAGACUGUAAAUUGAUUGUAUGCAAAUUGUCAUUAAAGAUUAUUACAUUCUGUCAACCAA